CAUAUCAAUAAGCGGAGGAAAAGAAACUAACAAGGAUUCCCCCUAGUAACUGCGAGUGAAGCGGGAAAAGCUCAAAUUUAAAAUCUGUCAGUCUUUGGCUGUCCGAGUUGUAAUCUAGAGAAGCGUUAUCCGCGCUGGACCGUGUACAAGUCUCCUGGAAUGGAGCGUCAUAGAGGGUGAGAAUCCCGUCUUUGACACGGACUGCCAGGGCUUUGUGAUGCGCUCUCAAAGAGUCGAGUUGUUUGGGAAUGCAGCUCAAAAUGGGUGGUAAAUUCCAUCUAAAGCUAAAUAUUGGCGAGAGACCGAUAGCGAACAAGUACCGUGAGGGAAAGAUGAAAAGAACUUUGGAAAGAGAGUUAAACAGUACGUGAAAUUGCUGAAAGGGAAACGCUUGAAGUCAGUCGCGUUGUCCAGGGAUCAACCUUGCUUUUGCUUGGUGUACUUUCUGGUUGACGGGUCAGCAUCAAUUUUGACUAUUGGAAAAAGAUUAGGGGAAUGUAGCAUCUUCGGAUGUGUUAUAGCCCUUGGUUGCAUACAAUGGUUGGGAUUGAGGAACUCAGCACGCCGCAAGGCCGGGUUUUAACCACGUCCGUGCUUAGGAUGCUGGCAUAAUGGCUUUAAUCGACCCGUCUUGAAACACGGACCAAGGAGUCUAACAUGCCUGCGAGUGUUUGGGUGGAAAACCCGAGCGCGUAAUGAAAGUGAAAGUUGAGAUCCCUGUCAUGGGGAGCAUCGACGCCCGGACCAGACCUUUUGUGACGGUUCCGCGGUAGAGCAUGUAUGUUGGGACCCGAAAGAUGGUGAACUAUGCCUGAAUAGGGUGAAGCCAGAGGAAACUCUGGUGGAGGCUCGUAGCGAUUCUGACGUGCAAAUCGAUCGUCAAAUUUGGGGUAUAGGGGGCGAAAGACUAAUCGAACCAUCUAGUAGCUGG
rnacentral:rRNA from 1 species